AAAAAUGCAUGGAAGGGAAGAUACCAUGAUCAUAAAGGUGGCUUUCCCAAUGAGGUUUAGCCAUUGCAUUCAAGUAUACUGACCCCUGAGAUUUCCCGAAAUGUGGGAAACUCGACGUCAUAAUUUGUGGUAGGGGAGAAUUACGUUCAUGCUCUCCCU